UUUCGCAAUGCCCGAAAGGGUGACGAAGCGACGCCGCGUGUGGGAAGAAGGCCUUCGGGUUGUAAACCACUGUCGGGAGUUAAGAAAUGUAAGGAUGUUAAUAGCGUUCUUACUUGACUAAAGCUCCAGAGGAAGCCACGGCUAACUCUGUGCCAGCAGCCGCGGUAAUACAGAGGCGGCAAGCGUUGUUCGGAAUUAUUGGGCGUAAAGAGCACGUAGGCGGCUCUGCAAGUCAGCUGUGAAAGCCUUCUGCUUAACGGAAGAACAGCAGUUGAAACUACAGGGCUUGAGUGCGGGAGGGGAGAGUGGAACUUCUUGUGGAGCGGUGAAAUGCGUAGAUAUCAGAAGGAACGCCGGCGGCGAAAGCGGCUCUCUGGUCCGCAACUGACGCUGAGUGUGCGAAAGCUAGGGGAGCAAACGGGAUUAGAUACCCCGGUAGUCCUAGCCGUAAACGAUGGGCACUAAGUAGAGGGGUUUU
rnacentral:rRNA from 1 species